rnacentral:tRNA from 1 species
GGGCCGGUAGUUCAGCCUGGUAUGAAUACCCGGUUUGCACCCGGGUGGUCGCGGGUUCAAAUCCCGCCCGGUCCA